rnacentral:rRNA from 1 species
UACGGGAGGCAGCAGUGGGGAAUAUUGCACAAUGGGCGCAAGCCUGAUGCAGCCAUGCCGCGUGUAUGAAGAAGGCCUUCGGGUUGUAAAGUACUUUCAGUCGUGAGGAAGGUGUUAAGGUUAAUAACCUUAGCAAUUGACGUUAGCGACAGAAGAAGCACCGGCUAACUCCGUGCCAGCAGCCGCGGUAAUACGGAGGGUGCGAGCGUUAAUCGGAAUUACUGGGCGUAAAGGGCACGCAGGCGGUUAAUUAAGUUGGAUGUGAAAUCCCCGGGCUUAACCUGGGAAUGGCAUUCAAGCUGGUUAGCUAGAGUCUUGUAGAGGGGGUAGAAUUCCGAUGUGUAGCGGUGAAAUGCGUAGAGAUGUGGAGGAAUACCGGUGGCGAAGGCGGCCCCUGGACAAAGACUGACGCUCAUGUGCGAAAGCGUGGGGAAGCAAACAGGGAUUAGAUACC